rnacentral:rRNA from 2 species
UUCGAUUGGUGAACCUGCGGAAGGAUCA